GAUGAACGCUAGCUACAGGCUUAACACAUGCAAGUCGAGGGGCAGCGCAGUGUAGCAAUACAUGGGCGGCGACCGGCGCACGGGUGCGUAACGCGUAUCCAACCUUCCCGUUACUCAGGGAUAGCCUUCCGAAAGGGAGAUUAAUACCUGAUGGUGUUGAAAUUUCGCAUGUUAUUUCAACUAAAGAUUUAUCGGUAACGGAUGGGGAUGCGUGACAUUAGGUAGAUGGCGGGGUAACGGCCCACCAUACCUACGAUGUCUAGGGGUUCUGAGAGGAAGGUCCCCCACACUGGAACUGAGACACGGUCCAGACUCCUACGGGAGCAGCAGUGAGGAAUAUUGGUCAAUGGUCGGGAGACUGAACCAGCCAAGUAGCGUGAAGGAUGAAGGUUCUAUGGAUUGUAAACUUCUUUUAUACGGGAAUAAAACCUCCACGUGUGGAGCUUGUAUCGUACCGUAUGAAUAAGCAUCGGCUAACUCCGUGCCAG
rnacentral:rRNA from 1 species